rnacentral:rRNA from 1 species
CAGCCGCCACGGUAAUACGUAGGUGGCAAGCGUUACCCGGAUUUACUGGGCGUAAAGGGCGUGUAGGCGGCCUGGGGCGUCCCAUGUGAAAGGCCACGGCUCAACCGUGGAGGAGCGUGGGAUACGCUCAGGCUAGAGGGUGGGAGAGGGUGGUGGAAUUCCCGGAGUAGCGGUGAAAUGCGCAGAUACCGGGAGGAACGCCGAUGGCGAAGGCAGCCACCUGGUCCACUUCUGACGCUGAGGCGCGAAAGCGUGGGGAGCAAACCGGAUUAGAUACCCCUGUAGUCCCUGUCUCUUAUAC